GCGCCGGACAUAGUGACCUAGUGAUUUUUUUUAGGUUUCAAAGAAAAAGGGAUCAAGAUCAGUGAAAUACCAGGAACUUUAGAGCUGACCAGCGGGACGGAAAGUAGACCCAAAAAGCACAAGAGGAAUAGGCCACAGCU
rnacentral:sRNA from 1 species